CAAAAACAAAAACAAAAAAAAUAACAUUAAUUUUUUUUUUUUCCGGGAUGAUGAGUUGAGUCUGGGCUCAGGUAGUAACCCCGGGGUUAUUAAUAAAUAAAACAUUUUUAAAAAGAUUUUUUUUUCUUCUAAAACAUACAGUUUUUUAAAACUCCAGGACCAGUGCUUCUUUCAGUGCAGCCUCACAGAAGUCUUCAGCCCAAACCUCCUGGUGCAGGCUUUCCAUUCUGUGGGUGAAGGGACCCCAGAGGAACCUGAGAUUAAACUUCAGUUUUAUUGAUCUUCUCAUACUGGCAUUUAAAGGCUCUCCAAUAGCAGCCCAAAUAGAAACACAAAGCUUGUGAUUCCUUUCUGAUAAUCCAUACAGACAAGCCUCCAAAAUAAGAGAGUAAUGUGUGGACCAAAGGAAGACUGGAUCAGAGGAGGUUGUAUGGCAUAUAUAGAGAGAGAGCACUUGAAAAAAGAGCCUCAGAUCCUGUGAAAGUGUCUCAAACUGGAAAAAAAAUCUCGGAUGUCUUUUUCAACUGAAAGGUUUUAGUGUUUGUUGUUAACUUCUGGCUUUGUUUUAUACUACCAUCAGCAGAAAUAUAAGCUUCUGAGCCUGCCAAGAUGCUUUUAGGGGGGGAAAAAAAGCUUAGUUUUCC
rnacentral:lncRNA from 1 species